rnacentral:rRNA from 1 species
UACGUAGGGACCAAGCGUUGUUCGGAUUUACUGGGCGUAAAGGGCGCGUAGGCGGCAUGACAAGUCACUUGUGAAAUCUCUGGGCUUAACCCAGAACGGCCAAGUGAUACUGUCGCGCUAGAGUGCGGAAGGGGCAAUCGGAAUUCUUGGUGUAGCGGUGAAAUGCGUAGAUAUCAAGAGGAACACCUGAGGCGAAGGCGGGUUGCUAGGCUGACACUGACGCUGAGGCGCGAAAGCUAGGGUAGCAAACGGG